rnacentral:rRNA from 1 species
AACGAACGCUGGCGGCAUGCCUAACACAUGCAAGUCGAACGAGACCUUCGGGUCUAGUGGCGCACGGGUGCGUAACGCGUGGGAACCUGCCCUUAGGUUCGGAAUAACUCCCCGAAAGGGGUGCUAAUACUGGAUAAUGUCUUCGGACCAAAGAUUUAUCGCCUUUGGAUGGGCCCGCGUUGGAUUAGCUAGUUGGUAGGGUAAAAGCCUACCAAGGCGACGAUCCAUAGCUGGUCUGAGAGGAUGAUCAGCCACACUGGGACUGAGACACGGCCCAGACUCCUACGGGAAGCAGCAGUGGGGAAUAUUGGACAAUGGGCGAAAGCCUGAUCCAGCAAUGCCGCGUGAGUGAUGAAGGCCUUAGGGUUGUAAAGCUCUUUUACCCGGGAUGAUAAUGACAGUACCGGGAGAAUAAGCUCCGGCUAACUCCGUG